rfam:Pteropus alecto contig15759, whole genome shotgun sequence.
GUCCACGGCCAUGCCACCCUCAACACGCCCAAUCUCAUCUGAUCUCGGAAGCUAAGCAAGGUGAUCCUGGUUAGCACUUGGAUGGGAGGCCACCUAGGAAUACUGGGUCCUGUAGGCU